GAAUGACGUUGUCAACGUGCCAGAGGAAAUAAAACUUUCUGUCAACCGAGGCAUUUAGAUGCAACUCAGUUUUUCCUUCAAGAGUCAGAGCAAAAUAGAGGUAUUUUUAGAUGAGAGAAGAGAUGUUUAUCCUUCUGGAUCCUGAGUAAGGAAAUAAUAAAGGAAGAAAGAAAAGGGAAAGGGGUGUGAAGCGUGGAACGAUGGCGAACAAAGAAAUGGGCAGAAUUGCUGGAAAAUGCACACAAGUGCUGAUCAUAUAAAGCAAUAACAAGAAUUGGUAAGCAGGAUGUCAUUAAAAUUUAAAAGUUGGGCGGGGGGAGGGCGCCUGGGUGGCGCAG